GACGAACGCUGGCGGCGUGCUUAACACAUGCAAGUCGAACGGAAAGGCCCUUCGGGGUGCUCGAGUGGCGAACGGGUGAGUAACACGUGGGUGAUCUGCCCUGCACUUUGGGAUAAGCCUGGGAAACUGGGUCUAAUACCGAAUAUGACUACAUGCUUCCUGGUGUGUGGUGGAAAGCUUUUGCGGUGUGGGAUGGGCCCGCGGCCUAUCAGCUUGUUGGUGGGGUAAUGGCCUACCAAGGCGACGACGGGUAGCCGGCCUGAGAGGGUGUCCGGCCACACUGGGACUGAGAUACGGCCCAGACUCCUACGGGAGGCAGCAGUGGGGAAUAUUGCACAAUGGGCGCAAGCCUGAUGCAGCGACGCCGCGUGAGGGAUGACGGCCUUCGGGUUGUAAACCUCUUUCAGCACAGACGAAGCGCGAGUGACGGUAUGUGCAGAAGAAGGACCGGCCAACUACGUG
rnacentral:rRNA from 1 species